rnacentral:lncRNA from 10 species
CUGGGUCUUGCAGGUAAUGGUGCGGGGAUCCACCGUCUUGUCUCACCACUGUCCAAGACACAGAUAUGGCUUCUGUUCUCUCCCUCUCAUGCUGGGCCAAAGCUGGACUGUACUGCUGCCAUCUCGGCUCGCUGCAGCCUCCCUGCCUGAUUCUCCUGCCUCAGCCUGCCGAGUGCCUGCGAUUGCAGGCGCGCGCCGCCACGCCUGACUGGUUUUCGUGUUUUUUUGGUGGGGACGGGGUUUCGCUGUGUUGGCCGGACUGGUCUCCAGCUCCUAGCCGCGAGUGAUCCGCCAGCCUCGGCCUCCCGAGGUGCCGGGAUUGCAGACGGAGUCUCAUUCACUCAGUGCUCAAUGGUGCCCAGGCUGGAGUGCAGUGGCGUGAUCUCGGCUCGCUACGGCCUCCACCUCCCAGCCGCCUGCCUUGGCCCUGCAAAGUGCGGAGAUUGCAGCCUCUGCCCGGCCGCCACCCCGUCUGGGAAGUGAGGAGCCUCUCUGCCUGGCUGCCCAUCGUCUGGGAUGUGAGGAGCCCCUCUGCCUGGCUGCCAGUCUGGAAAGUGAGGAGCGUCUCUGCCCGGCCGCCAUCCCACCUGGGAAGUGAGGAGCGCCUCGUCCCGGCCGCCAUCCCAUCUAGGAAGUGAGGAGCGUCUCUGCCCCGCAGCCCAUCCUCUGAGAUGUGGGGAGCGCCUCUGCCCUGCCGCCCCGUCUGGGAUGUGAGGAGCGCCUCGGCCCGGCCGCGACCCCGUCUGGGAGGUGAGGAGCGUCUCUGCCCGGCCGCCCCGUCUGAGAAGUGAGGAGACCCUCCUCCUGGCAACCGCCCUGUCUGAGAAGUGAGGAGCCCCUCCGCCUGGCUGCCACCCUGUCUGGGAAGUGAGGAGCGUCUCCGCCCGGCAGCCACCCCGUCCGGGAGGGAGGUGGGGGUCAGCCCCCCGCCCGGCCAGCCGCCCCAUCCGGGAGGUGAGGGGCACCUCUGCCCGGCCGCCCCUACUGGGAAGUGAGGAGCCCCUCUGCCCAGCCAGGAGCCCCUCUGCCCAGCCAGCCGCCCCGUCCGGGAGGGAGGUGGGGGGGUCAGCCCCCCGCCUGGCCAGCCACCCGGUCUGGGAGCUGAGGGGCGCCUCUGCCCGGCCACCCCUACUGGGAAGUGAGGAGCCCCUCUGCCCGGCCACCACCCCGUCUGGGAGGUGUACCCAACAGCUCAUUGAGAAUGGGCCAUGAUGACGACGGCGGUUUUCUGGAAUAGAAAAGGGGGCAAGGUGGGGAAAAGAUUGAGAAAUCGGAUGGUUGCCGUGUCUGUGUAGA